rnacentral:lncRNA from 1 species
UCAAUUAUAUUUCAGGUCCAAACUCCACUCUACAACUUUAAGUGAUAUCCAUGAAGUUGAAAAUACUGAAUAUGGCAAAAACAGAAUCAGAAAUGGAAUUUAAGGUCUAGAAGAAACAUCAACAACAAUAAAUAGCACGAGCAGUAACUCAGCAAGAAUCAACUUGAACUAACAAUAGCGCAAUGUUUUCCAAACAAUAAACCCAAACCAGCUUUAACAAAAUCUAAAAUUCAACAUAUUUUUUCCCAAGAAUAAGCUUUCAAAACCAUAUUAAACAAUCAUCAGACCCAUAUGAAUCAGAGAUGCUUCAGAAAUUCGAAACCUCAGGAAUUAUAAUAAGCAGUUCAAAGGAACAGUAGUUUUCUACCUAAAACCUUAGCCAUUUUUUAUUUUCUGGAUUUUUC